ensembl:lncRNA
GGUGAUGACUGCGUGCGUGGCGGGUGAUGGGCCGGCCCGCCGGCCGUCCUGGAGUACCGGCCAUUCUGUGAUUCUCCAGAUCACACAGAUGGCCAGUCCGCCCCUGACCCUUCCUCACCGUGGAUGAAGCAGAGUCCCACCUGUUGCUGCUUUCUCGAGCUGGCCUCCCGUCAUUCAAGCCUUCCGUGUGUGACACUGUGUUUCGUUGUAAAAGUUGUCUGAAAGCCUAUUUGUUCAGCGCUGAAGUUUUCUAAGCGCGUGAACGCUCCAUCACGUGAACUGCGCCUGGACAGGAAAAUGCAGCGCGCUGCUCAGUUGUUCGCGCUCAGGGAUGACGAGAGAAGACUCAGAGACCCUUUUCUUUACUUUCGUGUGCGUUUAUGAAAAGCAAUUCCAGAACAGUUCGACCCAAAUAUUCAGAUGUGUGAAAUGCAUUUUAUGGAGGACUGUUUCAUGAUCCUGGGAGAGUAGACUACAAUGCCGGCUGUUCUGACUCACAGACUGCGAACACUUCUCAAGGGAAAACAAUCAAGCAAUCGGUGAAACCUUCAAGGCUGAGCAGUGAACAUUAAUCAUCACAGAUAAUACAUUAUAAAGUGCAUUCAGAAAAUACAUUCACUUGUUCUAAUUUCAGUGUCACUCUAAUAUAAUUUAUAUGCUAUUUUUCUUAGUUUUACACAUUUAUUUAAUAAUUUUUUUGAAUCACCACACUCUCCCCUUCUAGGAUAAAUGUUGUCCCGACAUUACACC